rnacentral:rRNA from 1 species
ACAUAUUUUAAUUUUUAAUCAUUUUAUUAAAUUAAAUAAAAUUACAUUUAAAUCCACCUUCAAUUAAAUAUUACAAAAUAAAAUUCAUUUAAAUAAAUUUAUUGUAAUCCAUUAUAUUCUUAAUUAUAAUCUGCAUCUUGAUCUGAUUUAAUUUUUCAUAUUAAUUUUUAAACAUUAAUUUUAUUAAAAAAUAUUUUUAUAACAACGAUAUACAAAAUU